rnacentral:rRNA from 1 species
GACGAACGCUGGCGGCGUGCUUAACACAUGCAAGUCGAACGGUGAGGCCCUUCGGGGUACACGAGUGGCGAACGGGUGAGUAACACGUGGGUGAUCUGCCCUGCACUUCGGGAUAAGCCUGGGAAACUGGGUCUAAUACCGGAUAGGACUCCGGACUGCAUGGUCUGGGGUGGAAAGCUUUUGCGGUGUGGGAUGGGCCCGCGGCCUAUCAGCUUGUUGGUGGGGUGAUGGCCUACCAAGGCGACGACGGGUAGCCGGCCUGAGAGGGUGACCGGCCACACUGGGACUGAGAUACGGCCCAGACUCCUACGGGAGGCAGCAGUGGGGAAUAUUGCACAAUGGGCGCAAGCCUGAUGCAGCGACGCCGCGUGAGGGAUGACGGCCUUCGGGUUGUAAACCUCUUUCAGCAUCGACGAAGCGAAAGUGACGGUAGGUGCAGAAGAAGGACCGGCCAACUACGUGCCAGCCGCCGCGGUAAUAC